UACGAAGGGGGCUAGCGUUGUUCGGAAUUACUGGGCGUAAAGGGCUCGUAGGCGGCCAACUAAGUCGGAUGUGAAAUCCCCAGGCUUAACCUGGGAACUGCAUCCGAUACUGGAUGGCUUGAAUCCGGGAGAGGGAUGCGGAAUUCCAGGUGUAGCGGUGAAAUGCGUAGAUAUCGGGAGGAACACCGGUGGCGAAGGCGGCCUUCUGGACGGAUACUGACGCUGAUACGCGAAAGCGUGGGGAGCAAACAGG
rnacentral:rRNA from 1 species